rnacentral:lncRNA from 1 species
GUCCCAGCGGCGCAUCUUGGUGGGUGGCGUCUGCCACCUCAGCUCGUCCGUGGCCCUUGUCCACUCAUCGCUUGGUUGAGGUGUGGCCGCCGGGCCGCCCAGUGACUCCCCCGUCGUCGUCACUGAGUGGGAAGCUGCUUUGAAACCACGUGACCAUCCCGUCCCUCAUCGGUCUUCCUUUAGUUACUCACCCCCCUUUUCCGUCUCUGUGCCCUGGGGUCCUUUCUGCGGUGGGUUCCGGUCUGCCACUGCAUUUGGUUUGAUGCUCAUGUUGUCCUCAUGUGGCCAGUGGGGACCCUUCAUCCAGUGUCCCUUUGCUCCGUCCCUGCCACCCUUUGAGUGUUUCCUUGCUUUCUGGCGUGAAAAGAUGCUCCAGCCUCAGCCCCAGGCCUGGGAGGAGCCGUUUCUCCAAGGACCCCCGUUCCCUUAGGUGGAGGAUGGGGUCUGGGAACCAAGACGCAGUGUGAGGGGUGCUCACGGCUCCUGGGUGGCUGCAUCUGGGCUCUCGGGGUGGACAGAGCUAGGGAAUAUAUGCCUCUGCCUGUCUGUCCGUCCAUCCAUCCAUCCGUCCGUCCAUCCAUCCAAUCUGUCGACACCUGUGAGAUGACACCAGCACCUCCAGUGUCAUCCCAACCCCCAUGCAUGGCCACGGGCCCUGCGGGUCAGACGUCCGGGCCCGACAUAGCAGGCCCUCUGCUCAAGCCGUCGGUCAGGCUGUGUUCCUUCUGGCUUCUCUGGGGAAGAGCCCAGGAACCAGAGGCUGCCUGCGUUCUUUGCCACCCGGCCCCCCAUCUUCAAAGUCAGCGACAGAGAACCUGCCACGAACCGAACCCCUCACCCAUGAACGUCUUCUUUAGCAAGAGCCCUGGCCUUUUACAGGUUCCCUGAUUAGGUCAGGCCCACCAGGACACUCUCCCUUUCUUAAAGUCAACUGUGCCAUAAAAUCAUCCCCCAAUCCCAGGAUGGCUCUCUGAGUCGCAGUCACUGGUUCCACCCAC